rnacentral:rRNA from 1 species
UACGGAGGGUGCAAGCGUUAUCCGGAUUCACUGGGUUUAAAGGGUGCGUAGGCGGACAGGUAAGUCAGUGGUGAAAUCUCUGGGCUUAACCCAGAAACUGCCGUUGAUACUAUUUGUCUUGAAUAUCCUGGAGGUAGGCGGAAUAUGUCAUGUAGCGGUGAAAUGCUUAGAUAUGACAUAGAACACCAAUUGCGAAGGCAGCUGGCUACGCGAAUAUUGACACUGAUGCACGAAAGCGUGGGGAUCAAACAGG